GCCUUGUACACACCGCCCGUCACACCACGGGAGUUGGGAGUACCCGAAGUAGGUUGCCUAACCGCAAGGAGGGCGCUUCCUAAGGUAAGACCGAUGACUGGGGUGAAGUCGUAACAAGGUAGCCGUAUCGGAAGGUGCGGCUGGAUCACCUCCUUU
rnacentral:rRNA from 2 species